UGUGUUUCCCAAUUUGAUAAAUACUUUAACAUAUAAAAUCAACAAAAUAUCGAUAAUAAUGAUAAUUAAAAUAAGUGAUAAUGAUCAUCAUCAACUCACAACAACUAUGAAGACCGACUAAUUUUGCUCUCCAACGACUCCCAGAGAAGCAUGUGAAGAUUCCGGCGUAAUAUCUGAGUAUCAGUAAUAUUAUAUUUUCUUUAGAUUCACAAGCUCAUUAUAGAACUAUAGUAAUAACAGAUAACCAUGAAAUCUUC
rnacentral:lncRNA from 1 species